UCAAUUGCCCUGUCCCUGUAACAGUUUCCCUUCUCUUUGCAGUAUUUUGAUGCCAGAACUGACUGAUGGGUGCACAUGGUUCCUUCGUAUGUUCUUCCCUUGAAAAAAUAAAUGUAUUUUGAUGCCAGAGCUGACUGAUGGGUGCACAUGGUUCCUUGGUAUGUUCUUCCCUUGAAAAAAUAAAUGUAUUUUGAUGCCAGAGCUGACUGAUGGGUGCACAUGGUUCCUUCGUAUGUUCUUCCCUUGAAAAAAUAAAUGUAUUUUGAUGCCAGAACUGACUGAUGGGUGCACAUGGUUCCUUCGUAUGUUCUUCCCUUGAAAAAAUAAAUGUAUUUUGAUGCCAGAGCUGACUGAUGGGUGCACAUGGUUCCUUCGUAUGUUCUUCCCUUGAAAAAAUAAAUGUAUUUUGAUGCCAGAGCUGAC